UGGGAUAUAGCUCAAUGGUAAGAGCGGGUGCCUUAUACGCACAAGGUUAUAGGUUCAAAUCCUGUUAUCUCAA
rnacentral:tRNA from 1 species